GCUGGGUGUGGUGGUGCGUGCCUGUAAUCCCAGCUAUUUGGGAGGCUGAGGCAGGAGAAUUGCUUGAACCCAGGAAGCAGAGGUUGCAGUGAGCUGAGAUCAUGCCACUGCACUCCAGCCUGGGUGACAGAGUAAGACUCUGUCUCAA
rnacentral:SRP_RNA from 1 species